CCGGCCCCGCGCGGGGCCCAUAAAUCACGGGGGGGCGGACAGGCCCGCGGCGCGGCAGCCGGGUCGGAGCGGCCCGCGGGGACGGCCUCUGCUCUUCCUGUUUCCUCUCCUCCCGCCGACCGGCAGCGUGACCCAGAGGCCGCAGGACGGGUCAGAGUCUGUAAACCUUGACGACUAAUUGGACAAUUUGAAGUAAACCACGUACAAGCAUCGGCAGGCUGCCUCCCGGCCCCCCCCCCGCGUGACGACGUCGGUCGUGGCCCCGCGACGUCUGCACCCUCGGAGCGCCCGGACUGGAGUGCGGGUGGCAAGUGGGCCCAGGGUCGGUCCCCACUGUCGGGUCGCCCCCUGCACGGGGAAGCCUCCCCAAAGGGAGCUCGGCGGUGCCACCUCGGGGCGCCCCCCCCUCACCGCACCCGUGGGUGCAUGCCGCCUCCACUCCUGCCUGCACCAGGCCUGCUCCCACCUGGGUGCUGACCUCACCCCAGGGUGCUGCGGGGCAGCGUCCAGUCCAGCAGGAGGUCUGCACCCCCUCCCACCUCACCCCGGGGAAGAGGGGAGCUGCCCACCUUGAGAGGGAACAGGGCAGCCCUGGGGCUCCUGCUCUCCUCCUAAGGGGGGACCCCCCCCCCUCCCUGCUGCCGACCUGCCCACCUUGCUCACUCACCCUGAGGACUUGGGGAAUUUUCUUGAAUAUCUGUGUGGCUUUACCUGUGGCCACAAAGAGUUAUGACUUCUGCAGCUGGAAAGAGACCUCCCACCUCACAUAAAGGAAAAAGGGACAAUGAAAAUGAGUCUAACUAUAAAGACCAGGUUUAAACAUGGGAACACAUUUGCUGUGACAACGGCAGAACCCAAAAUGCAGUCCUGCUGCCUGCCAAGCCGAAAAUGUGCAAAACCAUGGGUGGAAGGAAAGGCAGCUCCCCAGGCCAGCAGCCAUGCAGGCCUUAGUUUAUUAAACAGUAUAUGGUCUUUUCAAUAAAAAAGAGAAAGCAUCACUCACUUAAAUAUAAAAAUAAACAUAACCAAAACCACA